CAGCAGUGGGGAAUAUUGCUACAAUGGGCGCAAGCCUGAUGCAGCCAUGCCGCGUGUAUGAAGUAAGGCCUUCGGGUUUGUAAAGUACUUUCAGCAGUGAGGAAGGUGGGUAUGUUAAUAGCAUACUCAUUUGACGUUAGCUGCAGAAGAAGCACCGGCUAACUCCGUGCCAGCAGCCGCGGUAAUACGGAGGGUGCGAGCGUUAAUCGGAAUUACUGGGCGUAAAGCGCAUGCAGGUGGUUUUGUUAAGUCAGAUGUGAAAGCCCGGGGCUCAACCUCGGAAUUGCAUUGAAACUGGCAAACUAAGAGUACUGUAGAGGGGGUAGAAUUUCAGGUGUAGCGGUGAAAAUGCGUAGAGAUCUGAAGGAAUACCGGUGGCGAAGGCGGCCCCCCUGGACAGAUACUGACACUCAGAUGCGAAAGCGUGGGGAGCAAACAGGAUUAGAUACCCCUGGUAG
rnacentral:rRNA from 1 species